rnacentral:rRNA from 1 species
UAGGGAAUCUUCCACAAUGGGCGCAAGCCUGAUGGAGCAACACCGCGUGAGUGAAGAAGGGUUUCGGCUCGUAAAGCUCUGUUGUUAAAGAAGAACACGUAUGAGAGUAACUGUUCAGGUAUUGACGGUAUUUAACCAGAAAGCCACGGCUAACUACGUGUCAG